ensembl:lncRNA
AAGUAAGAGCAAGGAUGGAAGCAGGCAACAAUGAGACGGGAAAGAAAGCAGAAAAUGAAGCUCACAAUCUAAAUAUAAAUAUGACUCAGGAUACUGAUGCAGAGGUUUCCCAUUCCUCCACAGUCACUGACCAAGGUCAGUCUGCUGCCUCUGCCACAGAUCAGGAAAAUGCUAUUAAGCCAAAUCUCCAGAUAACUUUCAACACAUUCACUGUAAAGAAUGGUGAAGAUCUGAAAGUAGAGAUCCCAGUUUCUGGGCAUCUGGCACCAAAGAUUGACUGGAAAAAAGACGGUCAGGCAGUUAAAGAAACAUCAAGGCUGCAGCUUUCAAGUACAGCAUUAUUAACAGUCCUUCAUAUCCGGCAUGCUGCCAG